GAGCGGUAGAGAGAAGCUUGCUUCUCUUGAGAGCGGCGGACGGGUGAGUAAUGCCUAGGAAUCUGCCUGGUAGUGGGGGAUAACGUUCGGAAACGGACGCUAAUACCGCAUACGUCCUACGGGAGAAAGCAGGGGACCUUCGGGCCUUGCGCUAUCAGAUGAGCCUAGGUCGGAUUAGCUAGUUGGUGGGGUAAUGGCUCACCAAGGCGACAAUCCGUAACUGGUCUGAGAGGAUGAUCAGUCACACUGGAACUGAGACACGGUCCAGACUCCUACGGGAGGCAGCAGUGGGGAAUAUUGGACAAUGGGCGAAAGCCUGAUCCAGCCAUGCCGCGUGUGUGAAGAAGGUCUUCGGAUUGUAAAGCACUUUAAGUUGGGAGGAAGGGUUGUAGAUUAAUACUCUGCAAUUUUGACGUUACCGACAGAAUAAGCACCGGCUAACUCUGUG
rnacentral:rRNA from 1 species